rnacentral:rRNA from 1 species
UGGGUAACACUAACUGGAGGACCGAACCCACUGUCGUUGAAAAGCCAGGGGAUGACUUGUGGAUAGGGGUGAAAGGCUAAUCAAGCCUGGUGAUAGCUGGUUCUCCCCGAAAGCUAUUUAGGUAGCGCCUCGGACGAAUACCAUAGGGGGUAGAGCACUGUUUCGGCUAGGGGGUCAUCCCGACUUACCAAACCGAUGCAAACUCCGAAUACCUAUGAGUACUAUCCGGGAGACAGACUGCGGGUGCUAACGUCCGUAGUCAAGAGGAAAACAAUCCAGACCGCCAGCUAAGGCCCCAAAAUCAUAGUUAAGUGGGAAACGAUGUGGGAAGGCAUAGACAGCUAGGAGGUUGGCUUAGAAGCAGCCACCCUUUAAAGAAAGCGUAAUAGCUCACUAGUCGAGUCGGCCUGCGCGGAAGAUGUAACGGGGCUAAAACUAUGUGCCGAAGCUGCGGAUUUGACAUUAGUCAAGUGGUAGGGGAGCGUUCUGUAAGCCGAUGAAGGUGUAUUGAGAAGCAUGCUGGAGGUAUCAGAAGUGCGAAUGCUGACGUGAGUAACGACAAAACGGGUGAAAAACCCGUUCGCCGAAAGACCAAGGGUUCCAGUCCAACGUUAAUCGGGGCUGGG